CUAUGAGCAAGUAAUUCCUACAGCAGUUUCCUAAAUUCCACAGCUGUAACUAAAAGGUACUUUAAAAAAUACUUUUAGCUUCACGAAUAAGGAAUGGAUUAAGUUUCUGCAAAUAUUUAAAAUCUUUGAAGUCGUUUGCAAGCCCCAUUCUUCUGCUUGGCUGCUGAGGGCCACGCCUGUUCCUGAGGAUUACCUCUCCCAGACCCCAACCCUCCUUCCACCACACCUCAGCCCUGGGAGGCCUGGUGACCAGCUGGGAGUGCCGGGCUCCAAGGCUGAGAGGUGUUGCUCAAUCAGCUGAAGUGUCCUAGUCCAUGAAAAGGGUACGAUUUCUCUUUGCCGAAGAGACAAUGCGGGAACCUUAGGAGAAAACAGCAGGAAAAGACAUUGCUGCCCAGGUGGACACACAUCUCCUCCAGGUGUUUCUCUCCAGGAUCUUGCUACUUAUUGAUGACACCGUAUCAAGGCGCCAGAGUCCAAAUGGUCAUCAUAAGAAAAACUGCACCUAACUUCCACAGCCUCCUAGGAGGCCCAGAGACAUCACUGUACUUGCCUGCCAUCCUAUGUGGUGCUGGAAAAAAAAAAAAAAAAAAAAAAAGAGGGGGCAAGAGAAAUAAAACAAGUUUCCAUAGUAAAACAGCACAUAGCUCAUCUUCUGCCGUGGUUACGAUUAGCACUGAAACGUGACUGUGAGCUCUGACUGUGUUGUGACAACCAUGUUAUCAUCAAUCUUUCUUCCCUGUGGCCACACAAGGCUCAGGAACUAGGAUUUUAGUGACAGUGGCAUCUGGCUCUUUCUCAGUACCCCUGUUUUCUGUUGUUGUUGUUUUUGUUUGUUUGUUUUUUACUAUAACUCCUGCCUUUCCUAAGUAUAAAGGGAAAGGAAAUAUUGGUAUACAAUAUCUAACAUUUUUUCAACAAGUGAAUGAAUGAAGGGAGGUGACUGGGUAGAAAAUUCCUAUUUAAAAACAAAAUUCCUUUACAGACAGGUAGAUCUUGUCCUGCUCAACACAUAUGAGGGUCUGGCUCUGCAGAGAUGGGCUUCAAGGCCGGGUGCGGUGGCUCACGCCUGUAAUCCUAGUACUUUGGGAGGCCAAGGCAGGCGGAUCACCUGAGGUCAGGAAUUCCAGACCAGCCUGGCUCACAUGGCGAAACCCCAUCUCUACUAAAAAUACAAAAACUAGCUGGGAGUGGUGGCGCGUGCCUGUAGUCCCAGCUACUCAGGAGGCUGAGGCAAGAGAAUCUCUUGAACAUGGGAGGUGGAGGUGCUGAGAUCCUGCCACUGCACUCCGGCCUGGGCCACACAGCAAGACUUGGUCAAAAAAAAAAAAAAAAAAAGGGAUGGGCUUCAACAGGAUAGAAGCUCACUGCUCUUUCAUCUAAACCCAGUCCCGAGGAAAGGAGUCAGGAGCUGGUUUGGUGGCUCCACAAGCAUCAGGGAACCAGCCUUCUUCAAAUGUAUUAUUCCACCAUCCUACAUUCCCGGCUUCCAUCACAGGGACCCAGGACUGCUUGUACCCCCGCAUCCCGUCUGCAUCUCCACCAAACAGGAAGGAGAAGACCAUGCCUUUUAAAAAUAGCACAGAGCACUCUCACCAUUGCAUUUCCUUGGCCAAAAUUAGACACAUAGCCACACUUAAAUGUGACAUACAAGGACCUGGCCACCCAGCCUGCUGCCAUUAAUGCAUGUUUCACUGAACACUAUAAUCCUCACUCAAGCAGAGGCUGCUGGAUGCCACCGUCCCAAAGUAGGUACCCCACAUAUGCUGCACGGUUCCAGUCAACCCAGUGCUUACCUAACCAGCAAAUCUAGAUGUUGCCAGCCAACACAACAUUGAGACACUGCGAUUUUCUGACAUGAGACCUACACAGUUCUCAGUCUUGGCUUUAAAAACCGACUGCAUUUGGCCUCCCUUGAACCAAAUCCCCCAGAACCUAGAAUCUGUGCUAGAUUGAGUUUCUUGCUCAAGGAUAUAACUUUCCCACUCAUUGCACCAUCUGUACUCUCUUAGUCUUUCUAUAUUUUUUUCUUAAACAAAUGAAAGGGAGGCUGAGGAAUAUAGUCUUUAGGUGAGUCACCCCUGAGUACAGCUAAAAAGUGAGGGCUCUAUAAGGACGGAAUAGAUAUGAGGGACAAAUAGCAGUCUCUAUCACACCCAUAAAUUGGUUGAAAAAAAAACAUGGUGGCUCACUCCUGUAAUCACAUCACUUUGGGAGGAUCACUAGAGGCCAGCAGUUCAAGAUCUGUCUGGGCAAUGUGGCGAAAUCUCAUCUCUACAAAAAAUUUUUACAAAUUAGCCAGUCACAGUGGUGCGCACCUGUUGUCCUAGCUACUCGGAAGGCUGACGUGGGAGGAUUGCUUGAGCCCAGGAGUUCAAGGUUGCAGUGAGCCCUGAUCACACCACUGCCCUCCAGCCUGGGUGACAGAGCGAGACCCUGCCUCUACCAAAAAAAAAAAAAAAAGUAGAGUUUAAAGUCAAAAUAACCAUAGCCCUGCUCCCUCCCCAGCAGGCUUCAGAUGGAUUCAUGCAGUGAUACUGUGGAUUUGAAACACUCUUACCUAGAUCCUAAGCAGUCAGAUGACCAAGUGACAUCUGGGUAUAAAUGAAUAGUGCCAUGGACCUGUGCACUUGUCACCACACAUUCAACACCAGCAGCCCACUUGGGCCUGAGCUAGCAAGUAGGACUGUGUCUCUUUAACCCCACAAACUUCAGGUCAGUAAAAAGAGCACUCGACUUGGAGUCAAGAUCUCCAAGGUGAAUCAGAGCUCAGCUGUCUAGUAAGUGACUGAUUUUGUGUAGGUGCCAGAAACGGAAAUAAUAAUAAGGCCAAUGAACGCACGAUGAGAAGUUAUCAUGGACCAGGCACUGUGCUAAGCUAAUGUGCAUUGAUUCUUUAUUCCCCAUAACAAUCCUACAAUCUAGAUCAUAAUGAUCUUACUGCCAUUCUUCAAAUGAGAAAAUUAAGGCUCUGAAAGUAAGGAAUGACCAAUGGAGCCAAUAAAGUAGUAGCAUGAGAAUUUAAAAUCAGAGCUCAGCCUGGGCAACAUAAUGAGACCCUAUCUCUACAAAAAAUUUAAAAAUUAGUGAGGUAUGAUGUCUCAUGCCUGUAGUCCCAGCCACUCUGGAGGCUGAGGUGUGAGGAUUGCUUGAGCCCAGGAGGUUAAGGCUGCAGUGAGCCAUGGUUGUGCCACUGCACUCCAGCCUGAGUGACAAGUGAGACCCUGUCUCAAAAUAAAAUAAAAUAAAAUAAAAUAAUGAAACCAGGGCUCUGUGGCCAGACUUCUUGCUCUUAACAAACCUAUGCUGCUUCUAAUGAAGAAGAGAAGAUACGUGCCAACUUUAAGGUGUAACUGGGCUGGCACACAGGUAGACAGUACAUAGUGAUCAGUGGUGUGGGAGAGGGCUUACAAGGUCAGGUGGGUAGGGGACACUCCCUAGAUGAAGAAUGAAUAGAAAUCAGCCAGGCAGACAUGAGGAGCAAUGUGUCUACAGCCAGGAAGCAGCACGCGUGACAGCAUGGCUGCAUCAACUGCACAGUGGCUGCUGGGCCCCAGACAUUGUGUUUGCUAUCACGGGGAAUGGAAGCGGAAGGUGGAAAAAGAUAGUUCAUUUUUCAGCGAGGAAAACAUUCUGUAGAAAACCCCCAAUGGAUGUUUCCUUACAUCUUGUUGGUUAUGUUGGUUAGAACUAAGUCACAAAGGUGCUCUGAGCUGUGAGGAAGGACAGAGCCAUGAGCAUAGAACUAAGAGGAUUGGGAACUGGAUGUGGCAGUGUGCACUUGUAGUACUAGCUACUCAGGAGGUUGUACCUGGAGUAAUAGCUACAGGAGAUUGGAGUGGGAAGAUUACUUGAGCACUGGAGUUUGAGACCAUCCUGGGCAACAUAGAGAGACCUUGUCUCAAAAACAAAACAAAACAAAACAAAACAAAAAACCCCGAGACCAAAAAGUGAACAAACAAAACACACACACACACACACACACACACACACACACACACACACACACAAAAGGGAAUGGGAUCUCCAAACUUGGCUGAGAUCAACCAUAAUCAUUCUCUUGGGCUGGGCCGACUGCAACCUGAACAAAAUUGUGGUUGUGUUGGCCAGGAAGAAAUGAGGGCUGCUCGGUGGAGAGGGGACCUACAGGCUCAGCUCACAGUCUUUCAAACAGGUCCAAACAAGAAGUGAUAAGGAACAGAACUAGCAGAUGAGUUGAGAACAGCAUGGUGAGACUAUCAGGAAGCAGAAGUGAAAGUACUUAGUGAGCUACCAGAAGUGAGGGCUGAGGGAGAAGGAUUCUUAGGCGAUUCCCAAAUGUAUGACUUGGGUGACUGAGAUGUCGGUGAUUUAAUUAAUUGGGGGCGGAGGGUGAGGACUGGGGAAGGCAGGCUAAUGAGAUGCACAAAAUGAUCUUAUGACUUAGGAGACAAUCUUUUGCUUGGGGGAUCCUUCAGAGACUUUCCUGUCUCUUGAUCUGUUGGGCAAAUCAAAUAAAGAAAGCAAGUAAAAGCCUUUUCGUAUAAGCCUCAUAUAAUGGUAAAUGUCUUCAUCUCUUAAAUAGAAAGCAGCUGGGGUGGCUGCCUGAUCUUAUUUCCCCAGUGGCUGUGUCUAUGUGACCUGACCCCAACAGACAGGGUGUCAUGGAAGCCGCGUCAUAUCAAUGGCAGUGCCCAAGGGACCAUGAACCCCUGCUUCUGGGAUCCCAAGACCUGACCUGGUACUGCCUCCUUGAGGCAUGGUGAGUCCCGUCCUUCCUUCAAUUCUAUAGUCCACUCCAAUAAACUGCCUUCCAAGAAGUUAAUUUUUUUAUCAAGUUAAUAGUGAUUAUUUUUGUAACUUAAAACCAAAAGAACUCUAUUUAAGUCCUUGAUAAGGUCUUUAAAGGUAUACAGUAUGCCACAAAUUCCCACAUGGGGUACUCAUGCCAACAGUGUUUCCUUAGAAUCUUAUCAUGAGCAAAUGAGAAAAAAAUUGACUGUGAGACAUUCUACAACUGGCACACACUCUUUAAACCAAGUUAUUAUCAUGAAAAGUAAACAAAAGAAUGAGGGGAAAUAGAUUAGAAGAGGCCAGAGACAUAAUAACCGAAUAGAAUGUGAUUCGAUCAUGGGUCACUGAAAAUAAGAGAGGAAGAAAAGAUACAUUUCGAAAAACAUUUGUGGGUCAUUUACAAAAAUUCAAAUUUGGACUGUAUAUGUGAUGGUAUUAUAAAAUUAGUGUUACUUUUCUUAGAUGAGACAGCCCACUGGGGUUAACAGAAAAUGUUCCUAUUCUUAGGAAAUGCAUGCUGAAAUAUUUAGAAUUAACUGUCAUGAUGUCUACUUUCAAAUGGUUCGGAAAAAAAUUAUAUAAUGUGAAAAUAUUAAAAAUUGGUGAAACUAGGUUGAAGGUACAUGAACGCU
rnacentral:lncRNA from 1 species